AGUCAAAGCCUGUUUCCAGAAAAGCCCAUCAGUUUGAGGGGAAUAAGUUAUCGCUAGUCAAUGCCUGAUUCCACAGAUGCAUAUCAGCUGCUCUUACAUGCACCAUGAAGAUACCGAGGAGGUCUUC